UACGGAGGGUGCAAGCGUUGUUCGGAAUCACUGGGCGUAAAGCGCGUGUAGGCGGCCUCCUCAGUCUGGUGUGAAAGCCCGGGGCUCAACCCCGGAAGUGCAUUGGAUACUGGGAGGCUGGAGUACCGAAGAGGAGGGUGGAAUUCCUGGUGUAGCGGUGAAAUGCGUAGAUAUCAGGAGGAACACCGGUGGCGAAGGCGGCCCUCUGGUCGGAUACUGACGCUGAGGUGCGAAAGCGUGGGGAGCAAACAGG
rnacentral:rRNA from 1 species